rnacentral:misc_RNA from 1 species
AAGGAAAUGCUUUUGCCAAAGCUGUUGUAGGAGUAGACAAAACAAGCCUUUGAUACUUUAGUUGUUGUAACGAAUGGUGGAUGGCUGAUUAAUUGGCCCUGUCAAAAUAAUAGAAUAUGUUUUGGGCAAAGAAGGUAAAAAUAUUUUGAAGGAUCAAGUAGCAAGAAGAACAUAAUCCAUAUGAAUCUUCUUAUAACUUGUUAAACUAGUGGAUGUUCAUCCAUCUGACUUUUGUUCCUGCUUGUAAGCUAGGUGCUUUUUU